CAUUAAUCAAGAACGAAAGUUUGAGGUUCGAAGACGAUUAGAUACCGUCCUAGUUCAAACCAUAAACGUUGCCAACUGUCUUUUAGAUGCGGUUAUUUAUAUGACUCAUCUGGCGGAUCUCGAGAAAUCUAAGUUUUUAGGUUCCGGGGGAAGUAUGGUUGCAAAGCUGAAACUUAAAAGAAUUGACGGAAGGACACACAAGAAGUGGAGCCUGUGGCCUAAUUUGACUCAACACGGGAAACCUUACUCGGCCAGGACACUUUUAGGAUUGACAGAUUGAGAGCUCUUUCUUGAUUAGGUGGGUGGUGGUGCAUGGUCGUUCGUAGUUCGUGGAGCGAUUUGUCUGAUUAAUUUCGAUAACGAACGAGACUCCGGCUUACUAAAUAGUCUAAAGUUCGAAGGGACUUUUCAAGACUUCUUAGCAGGAUAAGUGGCACUUUUUAAGCCACACGAAAUGGAGCAAUAACAGGUCUGUGAUGCCCUUAGAUGUCCGAGGCUGCACGCGCGCUACACUGGAGAGUUCAGAAUGUUUCUUCCUACUUCGACAGAAGUGGGUAACCAUGAAAUUCUCUUCGUGACUGGGAUCGGAGCUUGCAAUUAUUCUCCGUCAACGAGGAAUUCCUAGUAAGCACUAUUUCAUCAGAAUGUGCUGAUUAUGUCCCUGUCCUUUGUACACACCGCCCGUCGCUACUACCGAUUGAAUGUUUUAGUGAGAUCUUCGGCUUGGUUUUCCGAGCGGCUCUCGGGUCGUUCGGUUUUUAUCGAAAAGAUGCUCAAACUGGAUCAUUUAGAGGAAGUAAAAGUCGUAACAAGGUAUUC
rnacentral:rRNA from 1 species